GCCCACGUAGCUCAGUCGGUAGAGUGCGUCCUUGGUAAGGACGAGGUCAGCGGUUCGAUCCCGCUCGUGGGCACCA
rnacentral:tRNA from 1 species